rnacentral:rRNA from 1 species
GAUGAACGCUGGCGGCGUGCCUAAUACAUGCAAGUCGAGCGAACAGAUAAGGAGCUUGCUCCUUUGACGUUAGCGGCGGACGGGUGAGUAACACGUGGGUAACCUACCUAUAAGACUGGAAUAACUCCGGAAAACCGGGGCUAAUGCCGGAUAACAUUUAGAACCGCAUGGUUCUAAAGUGAAAGAUGGUUUUGCUAUCACUUAUAGAUGGACCCGCGCCGUAUUAGCUAGUUGGUAAGGUAACGGCUUACCAAGGCAACGAUACGUAGCCGACCUGAGAGGGUGAUCGGCCACACUGGAACUGAGACACGGUCCAGACUCCUACGGGAGGCAGCAGUAGGGAAUCUUCCGCAAUGGGCGAAAGCCUGACGGAGCAACGCCGCGUGAGUGAUGAAGGUCUUCGGAUCGUAAAACUCUGUUAUUAGGGAAGAACAAAUGUGUAAGUAACUGUGCACGUCUUGACGGUACCUAAUCAGAAAGCCACGGCUAACUACGUG